rnacentral:rRNA from 1 species
GAUCAUGGCUCAGGAUNAACGCUAGCUACAGGCUUAACACAUGCAAGUCGAGGGGAAACGAGUAUUGGAAGCUUGGCUUCCGAUAGGCGUCGACCGGCGCACGGGUGAGUAACGCGUAUCCAACCUGCCCGUCACUUGGGAAUAACCUUGCGAAAGUAAGACUAAUGCCCAAUGACAUUUAUAGAAGGCAUCUGAAAUGAAUUAAAGAUUUAUCGGUGAUGGAUGGGGAUGCGUCUGAUUAGCUUGUUGGCGGGGUAACGGCCCACCAAGGCGACGAUCAGUAGGGGUUCUGAGAGGAAGGUCCCCCACAUUGGAACUGAGACACGGUCCAAACUCCUACGGGAGGCAGCAGUGAGGAAUAUUGGUCAAUGGGCGAGAGCCUGAACCAGCCAAGUAGCGUGCAGGAAGACGGCCCUAUGGGUUGUAAACUGCUUUUAUAGGGGAAUAAAGUGAGCCACGUGUGGUUUUUUGCAUGUACCCUAUGAAUAAGGACCGGCUAAUUCCGUG